AGAGAGGGAAGUCUCUGAGCUGUGAGCUACCCUGAUUCUACACUGGGAAGUUAGGGGUAGAAGCACACAGGAGCCCAGCACUUACAGCCAGUGGCCCUGGGGGUCUCCUCCAGCUCCACCUCAUGACACCCCGUGCUGCUGCGUGACUGCUCCUGGUGCCAAGGCCACCGCUGCCAUGAGUCUGAAUGGCUAAUGCUGAGAUUAGCAGGGCCUCCCUUCUACUGGCCUGUCCUCCUGGCUCUCCUCCCUUUUGCCUCUUCUGGAUUUCAGCCAUUGCAGGGGAAAUCCUCAUCUUUCCCACUCACUGCUACACUCACUGUGAUGUGUUUAUAGACCUUCGGGGACCACACCUCCUCCAGCUGUCUGCCUUACUCGAAAAUUAGACCCAGCUUGUCCCUGACUUCUAGUAGCCAGAAAGUCUUCCACAAGAUCCAGCCGCAUGAUACGGAGUACACACAUAAAUGUGAAAACAAACCCCUCCAUCCUUUCCCACUGUAAAUCAACAGCACAUGC
rnacentral:lncRNA from 1 species